rnacentral:rRNA from 1 species
UACGGAGGGAGCAAGCGUUACUCGGAAUUAUUGGGCGUAAAGGGCGCGUAGGCGAUUUGAAAAGUCUUGUGUGAAAGCCCCGAGCUUAACUCGGGAAGUGCACAAGAAACUGUUGAAUUUGAGUUCCGGAGAGGAAGGCAGAAUUCCCGGUGUAGCGGUGAAAUGCGUAGAUAUCGGGAGGAAUACCGAUGGCGGAGGACGGCGACUUCCUGGACCAGUAUACGACGCUGAGGCGCGAAAGCCAGGGGAGCAAACGGG